rnacentral:piRNA from 1 species
CAAAUGGGUGGAGAUUUCUAAUG